rnacentral:rRNA from 1 species
UAACGGAGCGAAAGCGACGUUCAACCUCAAAAGAAGCAGAGGGGGCUUAGUGGUGGGGUGACUGCGUACCUUUUGUAUAAUGGGUCAGCGACUUAUAUUCUGUAGCAAGGUUAACCGAAUAGGGGAGCCGGAGGGAAACCGAGUCUUAAUUGGGCGUUAAGUUGCAGGGUAUAGACCCGAGCCCCGGUGAUCUAGCCAUGGGCAGGUUGAAGGUUGGGUAACGCUGACUGGUGGCCCGCACCGACUUAUGUU